UACACCUGCACGACCUAGAUUGUACUGCUAACCACCUCGAUCUCUGUGCAGCGUGCCUCAUUGCUUCAUAAUGAACAGUUUGGAUUAUAUGUGAACCUGCACAGUUAUCGUUGUUUGUUUAAUUAUUUAACUUUUUUGGUUUUGUAAAUUAUAACCGUGCAGGGAUAUUCUUUUAUUAUAAUUAUUUUAUAAUUGUAUCUUUUACUUUUUAAAAAAAAGCUGUCUUGUUUUCAUAGGCCUAUAUGCUGAAUGAGUUGUCUUAUAAAGAGAGCGAUACUCAGUUUUAUUGUAGCAUGUUUGUAAAAUAAUGCAUUAUUGACGGUUUUUUUUUUUUAAGCUUUUCUUUUGUUUGUUUGUUUGUAACUAGAUUUGUCUUCCAGAGUUCCUGCGGCGAAUCCAGCAGUGAACAUGUCAAUGUUUGGAUAUGACGGGAAGGUGCCUUCCCUGGGAAUAACCGAGAAAGUGCUGCUAGCCCUCCAGGAACAUGUCUUUCCACGGGUUCUGGGUGAAAAAAAACCCCCAAAAACCCAACAGUUUUUACCCUGAGGUGGAGAUCAAAGACAGUGGAAGUGGCAAAAUCACCCUGGAGUAAGCUGGUGAGCGACCAAAUACAUGAGUCAAGAGGAAACUUAAGAAGCUUAACAGCCUGUCCCACAGCUUCAUAAGGAAAAACCGAACAAGCUGCUGACAAAGUUCAACUCCAUUUGUGUGCUGCACCAUCCCAGUGAAACUAAAACUCCAGAAUGUGUAGCAGACAGGGAGCUGUUCUGACACUUGCACUCACGGUGAUACUGAGAAAUAGCCGUGCUUGAAAAGCAGCGACGCGCUGGCCACGAUCGAGCCGUGGCUGGAGGCCACAGAGAGAAUCCUGAGGUCAAGAGGAAAGAGCCGGUGGGGAAGUCAGACUGAGACCCGUCUCUGCAGCUCCAGAAUGAAAGCACUCAGGCUUAAAGAAUUACAGUAAGUAUAUCUGGGCACCUUCACUAGCCCAAUGUCUAGACAAAACUGGCAACAAGCUCACUGCUAUUCUAACAACAUAAUACUGUGGGCAAACAAAAUAAAAAGUAUGGUUUGCAAGG